ACAGAGAGUAGCUUGCUACUUUGCUGACGAGCGGCGGACGGGUGAGUAAUGCUUGGGAAUAUGCCUUUUGGUGGGGGACAACAGUUGGAAACGACUGCUAAUACCGCAUAAUGUCUACGGACCAAAGUGGGGGACCUUCGGGCCUCACGCCAAAAGAUUAGCCCAAGUGGGAUUAGCUAGUUGGUAAGGUAAUGGCUUACCAAGGCAACGAUCCCUAGCUGGUUUGAGAGGAUGAUCAGCCACACUGGGACUGAGACACGGCCCAGACUCCUACGGGAGGCAGCAGUGGGGAAUAUUGCACAAUGGGCGCAAGCCUGAUGCA
rnacentral:rRNA from 1 species